CCUACGGGUGACAGCAGUGAGGAAUAUUGGUCAAUGGGCGCGAGCCUGAACCAGCCAAGUCGCGUGAAGGAUGACGGUCCUAUGGGUUGUAAACUUCUUUUAUAAGGGAAUAAAGUGCGGCACGUGUGCCUUUUUGUAUGUACCUUAUGAAUAAGGAUCGGCUAACUCCGUGCCAGCAGCCGCGGUAAUACGGAGGAUCCGAGCGUUAUCCGGAUUUAUUGGGUUUAAAGGGAGCGUAGAUGGGUUUUUAAGUCAGCUGUGAAAGUUUGUGGCUCAACCAUAAAAUUGCAGUUGAAACUGGCAGGCUGGAGUGCAGUAGAGGUAGGCGGAAUUCGUAGUGUAGCGGUGAAAUGCUUAGAUAUCACGAAGAACACCAGUGGCGAAGGCAGCCUACUGGACGGCAACUGACACUGAUGCUCGAAAGUGUGGGGAUCAAACAGGAUUAGAUACCCGGGUAGUC
rnacentral:rRNA from 1 species